UCCUCCAGGUCCAGAGUUCUAGGCUACAAGCUUGUCUCUGUGGACAUGGCAGACAGCCACACUGCUGAGCCUCUCCUGGGACAUCCUGGAGCAGAGCCUCGUCUUCAGACGCCGCAGAGCCUGAGGCGUCUCUCUGCUUCACAAGAGAACACUGGACCACCAGCAGGAGCCGGACCAGGGUCUGACCAGGGUCUCCACUGGGACCUCCAGCAAGAACCAGGACGUCGCCUCUUCAGUCACCUGCUCUGCAGCUCUGUG